AGAGUUUGAUCCUGGCUCAGAUUGAACGCUGGCGGCGUGCCUAACACAUGCAAGUCGAGCGGUAACAGGUGUAGCAAUACAUGCUGACGAGCGGCGAACGGGUGAGUAAUGCUUCGGAAUCUACCCUCUAGUGGGGAAUAACCAGCCGAAAGGUUGGCUAAUACCGCAUACGUCCUACGGGAGAAAGCAGGGGAUCGUAAGACCUUGCGCUGAUGGAUGAGCCGAAGUCGGAUUAGCUAGUUGGUGGGGUAACGGCUCACCAAGGCGACGAUCCGUAGCUGGUCUGAGAGGACGACCAGCCACACUGGAACUGAGACACGGUCCAGACUCCUACGGGAGGCAGCAGUGGGGAAUAUUGGACAAUGGGGGAAACCCUGAUCCAGCGACGCCGCGUGUGUGAAGAAGGCCUGCGGGUUGUAAAGCACUUUUAGUGGGGAUGAAAUGUGCAGGGUUAAUACCUCUGCAUUUUGACCUAACCCACAGAAAAAGCACCGGCUAACUCUGUGCCAGCAGCCGCGGUAAUACAGAGGGUGCAAGCGUUAAUCGGAAUUACUGGGCGUAAAGCGUGCGCAGACGGUUAUAUAAGUCGGGUGUGAAAGCCCCGGGCUCAACCUGGGAAUUGCAUUCGAGACUGUGUAGCUAGGGUACGGAAGAGG
rnacentral:rRNA from 1 species